rnacentral:rRNA from 1 species
AUUGAACGCUGGCGGCAGGCCUAACACAUGCAAGUCGAACGAGAGGCGGACGGGUGAGUAAUGUAUGGGAAUCUACCUGAUGGAGGGGGAUAACUACUGGAAACUGUUGCUAAACACGCAUACCAUCAGAUAUGUCCAGGUGGGAUGAGGUUGGUGGUGGGGUAACGGCACACCAAGGCGCCGAUCCGUAACUGGUCUGAGAGGAUGACCAGCCACCCUGGAACUGAGACACGGUCCAGACUCCUACGGGAGGCAGCAGUGGGGAAUAUUGCACAAUGGGGGAAAGCCUGAUGCAGCCAUGCCGCGUGUAUGAAGAAGGCCUUCGGAUUGUAAAGUACUUUCAGCUGGGAGGCGUUACCCGCAGAAGAAGCACCGGCUAACUCCGUGCCAGCAGCCGCGGUAAUAC